AUGCCCCCGAGGGUCAUUUUUCUGCUCGGACUUGUGUUUUGCUGGGACCAAAGGAUUUGGGCACAGACUGACCUCUACCCUUCUCUGGAAAGCUUCCUGGUCUCCAGCCCUUUCCCGUCAUCACGGAUGAGUCAAGAGGAAGAUGCUCAGGUUUUACAAAAAUGCAGCAAGGUGACUCAGCUGAGGUCGGCAUUCACCAUGUGGAGAACUGGGGACAUUGGUAUGGGCCCCAGAGCCCCGGUGGGUACAGGAACCAGCCUUAAUUGGGUGUGUCAUGCAUCCCUUUCAUCUGCUAUCACCUCAACUGCUUCCAGCACUUCUGCAGAAGGUCUGUUCACAGGAAGACACUCUCGCCCAGGAGAUGAACUUGAAGUAGAAUGA
rnacentral:lncRNA from 1 species